rnacentral:rRNA from 1 species
AUUGAACGCUGGCGGCAGGCCUAACACAUGCAAGUCGAGCGAGCGGCGGACGGGUGAGUAAUGUAUGGGGACUGCCCGAUAGAGGGGGAUAACUACUGGAAACGGUGGCUAAUACCGCAUACUAUCGGGUAACCCAUAUGGGAUUAGCUAGUAGGUGGGGUAAGGGCUCACCUAGGCGACGAGCUCCAGUUGGUCUGAGAGGAGGAUCAGCCACACUGCGUCUGAUACACGGCCCAGACUACGACGGAGGCAGCGGUGGGGAAAAUUACACUAUGGGCGCAAGGCUGAUGCGGCCAAGCCGCGUGUAUGAAAGAGGCCUUAGGGUUGGAGAGUACUUUCGGCUGGGAGGCGUUACCCGCAGAAGAAGCACCGGCUAACUCCGUGCCAGCAGCCGCGGUAAUAC